rnacentral:rRNA from 1 species
GACGAACGCUGGCGGCGUGCCUAAUACAUGCAAGUAGAACGCACAGUUUAUACCGUAGCUUGCUACACCAUAGACUGUGAGUUGCGAACGGGUGAGUAACGCGUAGGUAACCUGCCUGGUAGCGGGGGAUAACUAUUGGAAACGAUAGCUAAUACCGCAUAAUAUUAAUUAUUGCAUGAUAAUUGAUUGAAAGAUGCAACUGCAUCACUACUAGAUGGACCUGCGUUGUAUUAGCUAGUAGGUGAGGUAACGGCUCACCUAGGCGACGAUACAUAGCCGACCUGAGAGGGUGAUCGGCCACACUGGGACUGAGACACGGCCCAGACUCCUACGGGAGGCAGCAGUAGGGGAUCUUCGGCAAUGGACGAAAGUCUGACCGAGCGACGCCGCGUGAGUGAAGAAGGUUUUCGGAUCGUAAAGCUCUGUUGUAAGAGAAGAACGGGUGUGAGAGUGGAAAGUUCACACUGUGACGGUAUCUUACCAGAAAGGGACGGCUAACUACGUG